UUUGAUCCGGAGAUUUCCGAAUGGGGAAACCCACCGAAAGGUAUCGUAUUCUGAAUACAUAGGGAUACGAGGCGAACCGGGUGAACUGAAACAUCUCAGUAGCUCGAGGAAAAGACAUCAACCGAGAUUCCGAAAGUAGUGGCGAGCGAAAUCGGAGUAGCCCUCGCGUUUUAGCAGUUUGUAUAUCAGAACGGAAUGGAAAGUCCGGCCACAGCGGGUGAUAGCCCCGUAUGAGAAAUGCAGAUUGUGGAACUAGGCGCGAAUAGAGUAGGGCGGGACACGUGAAAUCCUGUCUGAACAUGGGGGGACCACCCUCCAAGCCUAAGUACUCCUUACCGACCGAUAGUGAACAAGUACCGUGAGGGAAUGAUGAAAAGAACCCCGAUGAGGGGAGUGAAACAGAUCCUGAAACCGGAUGCCUACAAGCUGAUGGAGCUCUUCGGAGUGACAUCGUACCUUUUGUAUAAUGGGUCAGCGACUUAGUGUUGCGUGCAAGCUUAAGCCGAUAGGUGUAGGCACAGCGAAAGCGAGUCUUAAUAGGGCGACUGAGUUCGAGGGAUGAGACCCGAAGCCGGGUGAUCUAGCCAUGAGCAGGUUGAAGGUGCAGUAACAUGCACUGGAGGACCGAACCCACGUCUGUUGAAAAAGACGGGGAUGACUUGUGGCUAGGGGUGAAAGGCCAAUCAAACUCGGAAAUAGCUGGUUCUCCGCGAAAUCUAUUUAGGUAGAGCGUCUCGUGAAUACCCAUGGGGGUAGAGCACUGGAUGGGCUAGGGGGUCCCAACGACUUACCAAACCUAACCAAACUCCGAAUACCCAAGAGUACUAUCCGGGAGACAGACGGUGGGUGCUAACGUCCAUCGUCAAAAGGGAAACAACCCUAACCUACAGCUAAGGUCCCCAAGUCAUAGUUAAGUGGGAAAGCAUGUGGGAUUGCUUAGACAACCAGGAGGUUGGCUUAGAAGCAGCCAUCCUUUAAAGA
rnacentral:rRNA from 11 species